CCUAGAGUGCCUAACCUGGCCUGUGUGCUUGCAAGCUUCUGCUCAUUCUUCAAUACCCAGCAGAGACUUCCUCCUCCAUGCAGCCUUCCAAGACCCACCCGAGUACAGGCCUUUCCAUCUAUCCGGAGUGACCUACCAGAGACAGGACAGUUUGACCAGCAAGCUUCUGAUCACUCUUCAACACCCAGCAAGAAGUCUUAUCCUCCAUGCAGCCUUCUAAGACCUCUCUAAGCACAGGUAUCAGACCCUCCUCUGGAUCACUCUGUCUUGUUACUGCAUUUAUCUCACUGGAUUUCAGUGAAGUGUGUAGACAACUAAUUUGUGCCUGUCUGAUCUGUGAGCUCUUCAUUCAAAGCAGUUGGCUCCUGAGUACAGGAUAAACCCCUAGAAUUGAAUAAAUUUGGUCUUACCUC
rnacentral:sRNA from 1 species